UGCAGUCGAGGGGCAGCAUAGGUAGCAAUACUGGGUGGCGACCGGCAAACGGGUGCGGAACACGUACGUAACCUUCCUUUAAGUGGGAGAUAGCCCGAAGAAAUUCGGAUUAAUACCCCAUAAGAUUGUGGAGUGGCAUCACUCAGCAAUUAAAGAAAUUCGCUUAAAGAUGGGCGUGCGGCUGAUUAGGUAGUUGGUGAGGUAACGGCUCACCAAGCCAACGAUCAGUAACUGGCGUGAGAGCGCGACCAGUCACACGGGCACUGAGACACGGGCCCGACUCCUACGGGAGGCAGCAGUAAGGAAUAUUGGUCAAUGGACGCAAGUCUGAACCAGCCAUGCCGCGUGAAGGAUGAAGGUCCUCUGGAUUGUAAACUUCUUUUAUAUGGGAAGAAACCACUUUUUUCUAAAGGUGUUGACGGUACCAUAGGAAUAAGCACCGGCUAACUCCGUGCCAGCAGCCGCGGUAAUACGGAGGGUGCAAGCGUUAUCCGGAUUCACUGGGUUUAAAGGGUGCGUAGGCGGAUUAGUAAGUCCGUGGUGAAAUCUCCGAGCUUAACUCGGAAACUGCCGUGGAUACUAUUAAUCUUGAAUACUGUGGAGGUUAGCGGAAUAUGUCAUGUAGCGGUGAAAUGCAUAGAUAUGACAUAGAACACCAAUUGCGAAGGCAGCUGGCUACACAGAGAUUGACGCUGAGGCACGAAAGCGUGGGGAUCAAACAGGAUUAGAUACCCUGGUAGUCCACGCCCUAAACGAUGAUUACUCGACAUUUGCGAUAUACAGUAAGUGUCUGAGCGAAAGCAUUAAGUAAUCCACCUGGGGAAGUACGACCGCAAGGUGAAACUCAAAGAAAUUGA
rnacentral:rRNA from 1 species